GUAAGAUUUUGAAAUUCUACCACUAGAGUGCGCAGUGUCCCACAUAGUGUAGAACAGCCGGUUGACACUUCUAUGGGCAAUUUUUGCUACAGUUAUGCCACCGGGGACAGAUUGGAGCGCUAGUGCGCUGGAGCUACUUGUGACGUAGCAAUGACGUAGUGUGAAGUUAUGCCUUGCGCAUUAGUCAUUUCCAGUUCGUUCUUUUUGAAAAUUGAAUAGUGGUUGUCUGUGUUGUUUGUACAAGCUAUAGAAAAAUGUCAAACCAAAGAUUACGAAGAUGUACAGCGAAGAAUUGCAAUGCAUCUGAUAAUGACAUUAAGCUCUUCAGAUUUCCCCACGGCAUAAAUGCGAGAGAUAGAUAUGAUAAGUGGGCGAUAGCAGCAGGGAAACCUGAAUUGAUUGGCAAAAAUAUGCACCUAUAUCUUUGUGCUAAACACUUUAGCAGUAACCAGUUCAGGGACAGAGAGCAAA
rnacentral:lncRNA from 1 species